CGUGUGACGUCACUACCUUAUGUGACGGCGGGCUUCUGACGCUGAUAUCGGGCACAGCGUACUUCCGGUUUUUGCUCGCACUAACAAAAUGCCUGGCGCGAAUUGUGUUUUAUUCGGAUGUUCCGCCUGCAAUAAAAGAAAUCGGGGUUGAUCAUUCUAUCGCUUACCCAAAAACAACAGAGUGGAGAGAGAAUCAUUACGUAUCAUACAGUCUACCAGAUCAGACCCGAUAAAUGACAAGACCUUGAAAAUAUGUUCAAGACACGUUGAGCCGGAUUAUUUCGUUGAAAAAAUGUUUACAAAAAUUCUGGGUCCACAUAUCGAAGAUUAAAAGAAGGGUUAGGGAGACUAUCAACCUUAAUUCUUCUACAGAAAAGCGUAACAACAAAGAAAUUGAAUCCAAGGAAGUCACCGAGUCCAAGGAAAACCGAGGAAACUCAAUGUUUACAUAUGAACGAAGUAACCUUUCAGAUGUUG